GACGAACGCUGGCGGCGUGCCUAAUACAUGCAAGUCGUGCGGACCUUGUUGAAAGCUUGCUUUUAAAAGGUUAGCGGCGGACGGGUGAGUAACACGUGGGCAACCUGCCUGUAAGACUGGGAUAACGCCGGGAAACCGGGGCUAAUACCAGAUCGUUUUUUCCUCCGCAUGGAGGAAAAAGGAAAGGCGGCUUCGGCUGCCACUUACAGAUGGGCCCGCGGCGCAUUAGCUAGGUGGCGGGGUAAUGGCCCACCAAGGCAACGAUGCGUAGCCGAACUGAGAGGGUUGUCGGCCACAUUGGGACUGAGACACGGCCCAAACUCCUACGGGAGGCAGCAGUAGGGAAUCUUCCGCAAUGGACGAAAGUCUGACGGAGCAACGCCGCGUGAGUGGAGAAGGCCUUCGGGUCGUAAAACUCUGUUGCCGGGGAAGAACAAGUGCCGUUCGAACAGGGCGGCGCCUUGACGGUACCCGGCCAGAAAGCCACGGCUAACUACGUG
rnacentral:rRNA from 1 species